rnacentral:rRNA from 1 species
GAUGAACGCUGGCGGCGGGCCUAACACAUGCAAGUCGAACGAAGCACCUUUUAAGAUUCUUCGGAUGAUUGAUCGGUGACUGAGUGGCGGACGGGUGAGUAACGCGUGGGUAACCUGCCCUGUACAGGGGGAUAACAGUUGGAAACGGCUGCUAAUACCGCAUAAGCGCACGAGAGGACAUCCUCUUGUGUGAAAAACUCCGGGGGUACAGGAUGGGCCCGCGUCUGAUUAGCUGGUUGGCAGGGUAACGGCCUACCAAGGCGACGAUCAGUAGCCGGUCUGAGAGGAUGAACGGCCACAUUGGAACUGAGACACGGUCCAAACUCCUACGGGAGGCAGCAGUGGGGAAUAUUGCACAAUGGGGGAAACCCUGAUGCAGCAACGCCGCGUGAGUGAAGAAGUAUUUCGGUAUGUAAAGCUCUAUCAGCAGGGAAGAUAAUGACGGUACCUGACUAAGAAGCUCCGGCUAAAUACGUGCCAGCCGCCGCAGUAA